ACACCGUGAGAGAGAGAGAGAGAGAGAGAGAGAGAGAGAGAGAGAGAAUCGUGAGUGAGAGAGGGUUCAAUUCCUUGAAUCCUUGCUGGAAAUUUUGAAGAAAAUUAAGGAAGCUAGAGAAGAAGAAGAUUUAAAUGGGGAAAUCAAAUCUAAUUGCUGAAAUUAAAAUUUGAGGGUAAAGCAUAAGGACGAAUCCACCGGCAGAACACUGUGAGCAAAGGGAUGUCCAAACCCAACCUCAGUGAAAGAUAUGAAAGGAAGUCAAGUUUUGUGGAGUCAGCCCGCACGUUUGACGCACGAGACUUUAUUUUUGUUCAUGUGUUUACACUUUUGCUAUAUCGGUGAAUACGUUGGACCAUCCAUGCAUAUAAGCUUGUUUUGUUUGGCUGACUGCAUGUCUUGAAGUUCCUGGAUGUAUGAGAUAUUAACUCUCUUUUUAUGUGUGAGUUAUUAUGGACUGUUUAUGAAAUGUUUCGCUUUAUCAUGUAAGCAUAGCUCAUUGGACAAAAUUUUUAAGUCUGCUUCCGCUUUUGGCCCCAUAUGAUUGUUUAAAAAUCUGUUUUCUGUCUAAGGCCGUAGGUAAUCUAAUGAUUACUGGUUGGUUAUGAUCCUUACCUAUAGGGGGGUUCAGGUCAUGACAAUUUCAAUAUGUAAAUUUAUUUGAUUCAA